AUUGAACGCUGGCGGCAGGCCUAACACAUGCAAGUCGAACGAGUGGCGGACGGGUGAGUAAUGUCUGGGAAACUGCCUGAUGGAGGGGGAUAACUACUGGAAACGGUAGCUAAUACCGCAUACCAUCGGAUGUGCCCAGAUGGGAUUAGCUAGUAGGUGGGGUAACGGCUCACCUAGGCGACGAUCCCUAGCUGGUCUGAGAGGAUGACCAGCCACACGGGAAGUGAGAACCGGUCCAAGCCCCUAGGGGAGGCAGCGGGGGGGAAUAUUGCACAAGGGGCGAAAGCCUGAUCCAGCCAUGCCGCGUGUGUGAAGAAGGUCUUCGGAUUGUAAAGCACUUUAGGUUGGAGGGCGUUACCAACAGAAUAAGCACCGCCUAACUUCGUGCCAGCGGCCGCGGUAAUC
rnacentral:rRNA from 1 species